CACACAAAUGCGUCGCUUAACUACUGCAAGAGAGGUCCUCAAAAAAGUCAGAGAUGGAGUGGACAUGGACUCUUGAGUCAUAUCCAAGAAAUAGACCUCUAUAGUCUUCAACGUCUCUCAUCCUACCUCUGCCCCGAGGAAAGGAUAUGGAUCUGCAUAAUGUAAUCUGGUUCAAGGUGUACUGCAAGAUCCUACCAUACUAAGUGGCCUUUUGAUGUGAUUAUCUUAGCAAAGUUUGAACACCGACAUGAAAUAAGGGUUGCAAAGUAAAGAGCUGUAGCAUCUACAUGAACUGCAAAUCUCAUGGCAUCUGGACUUUC